GCCAGACUCCUACGGGAGGCAGCAGUGAGGAAUAUUGGUCAAUGGGCGAGAGCCUGAACCAGCCAAGUCGCGUGAAGGAUGACGGCCCUACGGGUUGUAAACUUCUUUUGUCAGGGAGCAACGCCGGCUACGUGUAGCCGGACUGAGAGUACCUGAAGAAAAAGCAUCGGCUAACUCCGUGCCAGCAGCCGCGGUAAUACGGAGGAUGCGAGCGUUAUCCGGAUUUAUUGGGUUUAAAGGGUGCGUAGGCGGAAGGCCAAGUCGGCGGUAAAAUCGCGGGGCUCAACCUCGCUCCGCCGUUGAAACUGGCGUUCUUGAGUGGGCGAGAAGUAUGCGGAAUGCGUGGUGUAGCGGUGAAAUGCAUAGAUAUCACGCAGAACUCCGAUUGCGAAGGCAGCGUACCGGCGCCCAACUGACGCUGAAGCACGAAGGCGUGGGUAUCGACCAGGAUUAGAUACCCGGGUACC
rnacentral:rRNA from 1 species